CUCUUGGCUCUUGCUAGGAAUGUCAGGAAAGUCCGGCUGUUCUGGGACAUCAGCAUUUUCUUCUGAAGAGUAAUGAGUCUGCUGAAGUGAAGCCAGGUCAUUCUGUGUCUGCUGCAGGUGCUCCUGAGACUGAGAAUCCACGUGAUCCUGGUGGUACCUGUGUGUGUGGUGGCUCCUGGGGUCGUAUUUUUCUUCAGAGCUGGCAGAAAUGGCAUGCUGCCUGGAUUUGCUCACUGGCCAUGCAGCAGCAAUGCUGAUAAAGCACAAGCAAAGAAAUGCCAGCUUCAUUGUGAUGUUUUACCUUUCCUGUGCUGGAGAAGUCAGCUGCUCAAAGGGGCUCCGGCAAUCCCAGCAGCAACUCCUACUGCGGGCUGAGUGAGGCUCUGGC
rnacentral:lncRNA from 1 species